CUGCAGGCUGCAAGUUUCACACUCUGAGACUGAAUCCCAUUAGCAUCGUUGGGGUCCUGGGGAGAGACAUUGAUUUAGAAGUAGCUGAAAUAAAGCACAGAAACAAACUGUUUUUAUUGCUUUAAACUGAGCCAGAAAUGACACCCUCACGUGUCCCCCCGGGAAAUCUGGGAUCCAGAACUCUCUGCAGUCAGUAAGAAUCUUUCCACUGGCUUUGGCCUAUGGACUAAACUUCCUAAAUUUCCAUGGCAUUUCUGGGACUAGAGUCUGAAAUUCACUUGCUUCCCUUGAACUUUCUCAUGUGUCCUUCUGGCCCGUAUAUAUACCUUAUAUAUACAUAUAGCAUAUGGAAAAUCAGGAAUGUGUGGAACUGCUGUGAAUCCCUCCCAAUUACUGAGGACUUUGUGAGCUGCAGACAAUCGAGCACGACAAACCAGCAGAUCGCCUUUCUUCCAACUGGGUUGUCCUUUUGUUUCCAGAAAAUGGUGUGAAGUGUAAUUUUUUUUUUCUUUUGGCCACCUUGUUUAUUUAAGCGCGUUUGUCAAAACCUACCGCAGAACGGUUAUUCCAGCUUGAAGAAAUCCUUCCGGGUCAGAAAGCCCUUUGGAUGGCUUGGAUCCAACUGCUCUCCUUCCCAUUCCUCCCUUUUAAGUUCUGAGAUUCUGUCAAAGUCUGGGCUGAAUUCCUGAGGCCAGUUGGAGUGUAGCUGUUCUUUUGUUCCCCGCUGCCAACCACAGAAAGCGACAUUCACCAGUUUUUGUAGUCAAUGGCUUUAAAACCCCUAUGUCUCAUUGCUUCCUUUGAAUGACCAGAUGCAAAGCGGUGUAUUAAACCUAGGAAUGACUUUACAGAG